AUCCACUCACUUGUAUAUAGUUGGUCGUAUAUAUACAACCAACCCAACUAGAUUAUGUACAUGUGUUUCUAUUCAAAAAGUGACUUUUUAUGAUUUCUGUGAACUUGGUUUAAACAAAACCCUGUAACAGAAGAGCUUUCCAAUUCAAGGAUAAUCUUAUUCAAGGGCCUAUCAAUUUUUUAAUCAUCUGCAAUAAGUUUAACAUACAGAGUUGAUAAAAUUAAUGCUCACGUUGAAGGUACUUUAUUUGCAUUGGUGCUCAACAUCUGUUCUUAAAAUUAAACAUCCUCUACGUUCAAAAUGCGUUAAUAUCUUGCUACCAUAAGCGAUCCUGACCGUAACACUAACAAUGACCAUUAUUGUUUGCACAAGAAUCACAGAAAAAUAUAUAAACUAUAUUUGUCAAAAAAUUGUAAAAUGUAAAUAAAUACAUCCGUAAAAUGUCAUUAAAAUACUUCGAUCAAGAAAAUAUAAA